AUGUGGCAGUCCAAGCCAGCCCUGGUCUUCCUCCUGCUCGCCGUCUCCACGGCGGCGACCGUCGGCAAGCCGCUGCUCACGAAGGUCACCAAGGGCAGCGCGUCCACGGCCCUCUACACGGCGCCCCUCAGCGCCGGCCGGCCGCUCGUCCUCGACCUCUCCGCCCCGGCCAUCACGACGCCGUGCAGCGGGCAGACGACGACUGUGACGCUCUCCGCCAACUCCACCGAUGGCAGCAACCCGCUGUCCCCGGUCUCCUUCGCUGCCACCGCCACCUGCGCGGCGGCCCCCUCAGGCGCCGUCGGCGUCGCGGGGCUCGCGCGCUCCAGCGCCUCGCCGGCCCAGGUGGCCAGCACGCAGAAGGUGGCCAACUCGUUCGCGCUCUGCCUCCCGAGCGCCGGCGUAGGCGCGGCCAUCUUCGGCGGCGGCCCGUUCUUCCUCGCGCCCCCGGCGGACCGGCCGGCCAUCACCACGCUCCUCUCCGACGGCGUCCCGCUCCGCCAGCCCUUCUCCGGGAACCCCGGCUACUUCGUCUCAGCCACCAACGGCAUCGCCAUCGACGGGACGCGCGUGGCCGUCUCCGGCUCCGGCGCGCUCGUGGUCGGCCUCUCCACCACGAUCCCCUACGCGCAGCUCCGCAGCGACGUGUACCGUCCCUUCAUCACGGCCUUCGACCGCGCCAUGGGCUCGAGCGCGAAGGUCGCGGCCGUGACGCCGUUCGAGCUGUGCUACGACUCGUCCAAGCUGUCGCCGACGUUGUCGGGCUACUCCGUGCCCCAGGUGGACGUGAUGCUGGAGGGCGGGACGAACUGGACGGUGGUGGGCGGCAACUCCAUGGCGCAGGUGAACAGCGGCACGGCGUGCUUCGCGUUCAUCCAGGCGGGAGGCGGCACGGGGGGCGCGGCGCCGGCGGUGGUGAUCGGGGGAUUCCAGAUGGAGAACAAGCUGGUGGUGCUCGACAAUGACAAGAAGACGCUCAGCUUCACCCCGUACCUCCCGGCCAGGGGCUUCUCCUGCAGCAACUUCAACUUCACCAGGGCGGGGUAG
rnacentral:rRNA from 1 species